CCGCGCGUUCCCUCGCCAUCUUCAUCGUUUUUGACUCGGCCUACAUGAUAAAGAAAGUGAAACAAAUGCUCCGUGGAAGGAAAUGCAUGGUGGGUGUCAUCACUGGUCAGGAAGUCAUCCUGGAGCCAAGGGUCGCGUCGAAGAUCAAAGUUGAGGGAAGAAGAUGGACAGGA